CUCAGGGCGGGCUGGGUUAAAAUGAACUAAGCCGCAGCCAAGCCCGAACUUGACUGGCCAAUCAUCCAGGCCCAAGACCGGUCCAUGGGCCAAGCUGAAAGUCCAAGCCCGUCCACCCGUCCUCUCAGAGUGCGAUUCAGACCCUAGGGCAUCAACCCCUCUUCUGGCUUUUCUUUCUUCCUUCUCGUCUUGCUGAAGUUCAAAUCUCUCUCUCUCUCCCUGCCACUGCAGCGGUGAUAUAUCUUUCCCUACACUGCGGUACUUGGGAAAUCCCUACAUCUUCACGCAGCCCACGACAAUACAGAACCCAUUAUUAGUUCAUCUUGGUAAGAACAUUGGAAUACAAUCUACGGACAUAAUUGAACGAUCUUUGAAUAUGAGGCCCACUUUCAUGAUUACAUCGUACUUGGGUACUUUGGGAAAGUGGAGCUUGAUAACACUUGGAAGUUCUGCCAGCUCAGCCUGGGACUUUCCCAACAUCAUUCUCUUGAAUUUAUCAUUGCAAUUGACUUCAUUUCUGUUGUUCGGAUCCAGGAGAUUGUGGGCCUUGAUGUAGGACCAGACUUUGAUAAAGCAUCCAAGACAGGAAAUCUGAGACUGGCGAGGUUGAUCAGGUUUGCUACCUUUUUUGAGGUUUCAGAGGUGGGCCUAACUACCAGUUGUAUCAGAAGCUAGAGGGGUCUCAUGUAAUUGUGAAGAAGAUGGAUGGAGGGUCCCAAACUCAGUGUCUAUUGGAUGAGAUGCCUUGUUCAUACUCCCAAUGUCCAGAAGUAACCACAGGCACAAAUGCUAUUGUGGAACAUCAGAAUGAUGCAUCUUCAAAGAGUGAGGAUGAUGAAUUGAUAGAAUCAUGUAAUUCUGAAAUGGACCGUGAAAUCGAAAGUGUUGCAAAAUGUACAGAGGAGAGUGAUAAAAUGGAAGAUCUAGUGACGGGACAUGACACGCCUUUGGAAAAUCCUUGU